rnacentral:rRNA from 1 species
GACGAACGCUGGCGGCGUGCCUAAUACAUGCAAGUCGAGCGGACGGAUGGGAGCUUGCUCCCAGACCGUCAGCGGCGGACGGGUGAGUAACACGUGGGCAACCUGCCUGUAAGACUGGGAUAACUCCGGGAAACCGGGGCUAAUACCGGAUAACUCUUUCCCUCACAUGAGGGAGAGCUGAAAGAUGGCAUCUCGCUAUCACUUACAGAUGGGCCCGCGGCGCAUUAGCUAGUUGGUGAGGUAACGGCUCACCAAGGCGACGAUGCGUAGCCGACCUGAGAGGGUGAUCGGCCACACUGGGACUGAGACACGGCCCAGACUCCUACGGGAGGCAGCAGUAGGGAAUCUUCCGCAAUGGACGAAAGUCUGACGGAGCAACGCCGCGUGAGUGAUGAAGGUUUUCGGAUCGUAAAACUCUGUUGUCAGGGAAGAACAAGUACCGGAGUAACUGCCGGUACCUUGACGGUACCUGACCAGAAAGCCACGGCUAACUACGUG